rnacentral:rRNA from 1 species
UACGUAGGGUGCAAGCGUUAAUCGGAAUUACUGGGCGUAAAGCGUGCGCAGGCGGUGAUGUAAGUCAGAUGUGAAAUCCCCGGGCUUAACCUGGGAACUGCGUUUGAAACUGGAAGGCUAGAGUGUGGCAGAGGGGGGUGGAAUUCCACGUGUAGCAGUGAAAUGCGUAGAUAUGUGGAGGAACACCGAUGGCGAAGGCAGCCCCCUGGGUCAAGACUGACGCUCAUGCACGAAAGCGUGGGGAGCAAACAGG